rnacentral:misc_RNA from 1 species
UAGAUACACUCGCAUAACUGACAUGCACUCUGUGCCCGCUGCCCUUCUCGUGCUGACAUAACGGGGGAUCGUAUUCAAACACGCAUCACCUCUUCCUUUGCUUCUUUCUUUUCCGGCCCCCUACGCAAACUUAGUCAUUUUCCAGCUCUUCAUCUGCCAGCUCAACGUCGCUGGGCGCCACUGAAGGCGACUCCGCAUAGGCUCGUGCGCGCGCCGUUCUAUGCACUUUCACGUCUUCCUCGGUUGCUCCAUACGUUUCAAUCCAAGUGUGCGCGUACGCGCACAAGCCGAUACGUUGCUUGGCUGACACCGCAAUCCCCGUCGCCUCCGCCUGUGCGCGGCAGAGGGGUGGGCAGAACCGCGCGAGGCAACGGGACCGCAACGAAAACGAAAACGACAAUAAAAAAAAACAUGUGUUUUCGUCGCUUUCACUCCGCCUUCGGUUUCACUUUGAUCGCAUUCGGCAGCUCGUCACCCUCCCUCCUCCCCGCUCGCCCUCUCUCCCUAUGAAGGGCGCCCGUUUCUUUCGCAUACAUAGUUCUCUUUUCUGGUUUCCUCGUUCUUAUUGCGGCCGCCUGAGCGAGUGUGCACGUGCGACGCCAUCAUUUCAGUGACUCAGGCACGCCAGUGAUCCACAGAGGCGCUACGUGUCCUUUAGACCCUCUACACCAACAGAGGGCAAGAAGGCUGAGCUCUCCUUCCUUUAUCUCUGCUCCCACCCUCUUCUCGUGGCUCGAACGUAUCCGCACAACGCAACGGAGGAUAAGGAAGACGAGCGUGAACACGUCAUUCGUGUGCCCCCCUCCUCUUCCCCCGUCUCUUCUCCCUUUCUUUUUCGUCUUGUUUCUCCGUUUCACGUUGUGUUCUGCUCCCUCUUUUUCACACUUGUGGUCCAAUUUCGAAGUGGGCUCCCUGAGCCGUUACUGUCCCGCCCCUCCCCGACCCCUCGAGCGGUCACUCACGAUCCCCGGUAGCAUAGAGGAGAGCCGUGCAUAGCGCGUGCACACACACACACACACACACACCCGCAACAAGGCGGACGAGAGGGUGCAGAGGGUUGCAAGAUCGUGUAUUCAUCGAAAGAGGAACACCACCGUGCGUGCGCGGGUGCCGUUCGGGCCUUUAUCAUCAUUAUUUUAGUCGGCAGAGGACCGUCGUUUUGGCCAGCCUCCUCCUCUUCCUCCUUCCCUCCCAGCACUGUAUUCGGUCUCUCCAUUUCUGCACUUGCCGAAGCAGGGACGCCCACUGACACACACAGAGAAACGGGCACCGCAACCGCAGCCGCUUCUGCGUUUCGUUAAACGCUCCCCCACCCCCGCCGCUCUUUGAUUGGGUGUCUGCGCCUGUGCUGAUACGGAAGGCGACCACGUUGUGUGGUGCGACCUCUUCAUUGUGUCGGCUGAAUUGCCGUCUCGACUCGCCCGCUUACACAAGCGUUUUUUUUUUUCCUCGUUGCGUCUCUUGUCGCCUCUCCCCGACCCCCCCCCCCUCACCGCGAGAGAUGAGGACGGCGAGCAGCGAGAGCCCGAACCACAUUUGCACCCCCGCCGCUGCAAUGAGUAGCGAUACGAGCCCCCCAGGGGACUGUCGCUCUCCUCUACAGGUGGCCGCCUCCAUCCCAUCCAGUAUCGGUGAUGUGGGCAGGAAAAGCAGUUCGUCGCCGUUGCGCAGUUGCGGGUUGGCGGACGCGGCAUCCCUGUGGGACGAGACCCGUAGUGUGUCCAGCUCUGUCCGCUCCAUUCGUCGCCGUCGCGGCGGUGAAGUCAGCGGCGCCGGCGCUGCGGAGGGGAAGGACUGGACGCAGGCGUUCAUGGACCUCGAGCAAAUGCGGAGGGAGAAUCAAGAACUCCUUCACGGGUCGCUCCGCGGCGACCGCUCCGAGACUGGCUCCCUUCUCGACGACACGUUUGCCGGCUCUCGCUCAGAGUCGUCCGCCAUAAGCUCCGUGCGACGGCGCCGACGUGGCAUGGCGGCAAGCGUCAGCGCCAGCGGGAGCAGGGCUGUGAGCUGCGCUCUCUUUGAAAAGUCUUUGUCCGGCGCUCCCGUCGUGGCAGAGUCUGUCACCGAUACUGCAGAGGCCGAUACCUCAGCAGCGGCACCGGCAUCGGCGGGAGAGCCGAACGGUCGCAACCAUGGUAUUACAAGCGGCGCCGCUGAGGAACGACUCACCUCCUCGCCACCGCCGGCCACCUACUCGUCCGCGGAUGCGGAUACGCGGAGCCACUCCACGGUUACAGAGCCGGGGCGCACCUCUGGGCUCCCGAACUGGCUAAAGCGGCCGACGGUCGAGGAGCGGCGACCCUCUGUGGCGAAGGCUCUGAAGAAUGCCAGCGCGGCUGUUCCGACGGCGGCGACCGAGGCGACGAGCAGAGGAGCGGUGUCGGUGUGCCCGCCAGCUCCUUCGCCGGUUUGUUCGCUCAUCAUCGAUGCACCGGCCGAGAAGCUGAACGAGGCCGCAUGCCCCUCCUCGCUGGCAACCAAACCGUCGAUACAUGCGAACCCACCAAGCCGUCAUUUCCCAUCGCCCAUGCAGAAAGCACACACCGACCCUGCCAGGGCAGCUGCACCGUCGCCGUCGCGUGGGCCACGUUCCAGAAUGGUUGCGGCCAAUUCAAGCGCAGCCGCGCCGGCCUCCAACGCGUCUUCUCCAUCGCCAAUGAACACAGCGGCCGCUCUUGUAGGAGGCCCGGCAGCUGCUUACCCUACAAGGCGUGCGUCGCCUUCGUUCAGCGCCGCAUCGCAGCCGCUCGCACAGACCUACAUGACACGCCAAACGAAGACCACCGCGGUGGGCAUAGCACCGUCCUCGUCUUCGGGCGGAAACGCGCGCUUCCCUCCCACUCCCGUCAAGGCCGCCGUCUCACCCGUGGCAACCGCCUCUCCAGGUCUGCCUGCAGCCCCGACUGCGGCGGGGGCGGUCGACACUCCAUCAAAACCUUCGGCGGAAGUGCCAGCUGCCGUCACACCUGCUGUUAAGCCUGCUGAAGAGAAGCCCCGCGUCAGUGCGCCGUGCGUCUCGGCGCGCGUCUCCUUCGAAGACAAGUUGAGGUCGCCGGACCCACGGCCACAGCUUCUGCCGGCUGAAGUCGAGGCCGGCCGCCUAACCACGAUGGAGUCGAGAAAGGCGCCAGCGCCGAGUAUGACGGCAACCGUGGCGGAAUCGCCGUCCCUCUGCGAUGCACUUGAGGCACCCAACGUCCCUGUCUCCCGAAAACGAACAGUUCUUCACGAUAGGGCAGCGAGUGCGAUGCGGACUUCGCGCGGCGCGGGGCAGACCAACGCCCUGUCCAGGCUCUCCGCUGAGGACGUGACCCGGAACGGUGAGAAGGGUCCGUCUGCCCCCCGUGUCGCCGCCUCCGUGCCGAGGCAGCGCAAGUGCUCCUUUGUGGCCCGCCUCCCUCGCGAAGGGACUGCGUUCGACCCCUCACAGCUGAAAGGUGGUGCUGCCCCGGCUACGAGUGCCGUCGGACUGCUCCACCGCACCACUAUCCUCACGGAGCUGCGACGCCAGGAAGUGAUGCGUGACCGUCUCGCACGGGAGAGCAGGACUGCCGAGGAGGCCCGUGCUCGGUUCGCGGUCCUGAAGCAGGCAGAGGUGAGCAGGAUCAAUGCUUCCGGUGCACACGCUGUAGAGGCGGCAUCGUCGGUCCGUGCCGUAACGGGCUCUGCUGAGGCCCGGUCAUCGUCGCCGCAGGACACGUCGCAGCACGUCUCGAAGGGCCGGCGGCGCUCGUUGGCGGUGACGCAGCCGCGCAUGUCACACAAACGUGUCGCGCUGGUGAGUCCUUCGCUCACUGCACCAGCGGUGCCGGCAAACGGUGUGCGCGCAUGCACGCAGAACCCGAGCCACCUAGGCACUCAACGGUCCAGUGAGGUCGUCGGAGCCGCCUCUUCGAAAAUGCACAGGCCGAACACUAGCGUGACGUCGCUGCUCCUCGCUAGCACCCCGGAAGCUGAUCGAGGUCACUGUUUGCGUGGAGAGAGGCCGCAAAGCAGUCCAUCGCUCAUAGGUGCUGAGGCCUUUGCGCACCCGCGGAAGCCGCUGGAAGCCACCGCGCUCUCGGGAACCCAGCCCCACCUUCCCUCGGCGGCCGUACGCAAAGACUCGGCUGCUGCAGCGAGCUCCAACAGCAGGAAUCCUGCCACAAACGGAGGUGUUUGGCGAGAACAGCAUUGGCUGAACACCAUGUCUGCCUCUCCGCAGCCGGCUUCAGCGGAGACGGAAAAAGUCUCGUCUGCACCGGCCCAAAAGGCAUGGCCUCAGGCUAAUGCUACCGCAUCUAUUGAGCCCGUCACCGCCACGACGGCGUCUCUGGCUCAGUCCGCACCGUACAGGACUGCGCCCAGCUUAGCGACCACAAGGCAACCGUGUCCCUUGCCGUUUUGCGCGGAAUGUGGCUAUCGUCACAUGGAUGACGUGGCCAAGUUCUGCGCUGUGUGCGGCCAAAGACGCGCAUACCUCUGCUGCUAAAAUUCUAUUCGAGUGGACAUAGCAGCGCAUUGAUGAGUGCAUCGUGGUGCGACCGCGCGCUGAUGUGAGGCCGGCGUCGAUAGGUAUGUUUGGCUACUAGCACGAGAAAGAAAAAGCAAGCAGCAGCAUGUGGCUCAUGUACCCCAGCGGCGUGCCGGAAAGGGGGAAGGGGGAGGGGCGGUGUUGAACGUGUGUCUGCGCAUCCGUGUGCCAGCACAGUUUAAGGGCCUCUUCUUCGUCCUUUGCUGUCACUUAUUGGGAACUCAGUGAUUUCUCCUUCGUUUGUCGUCAUGCGCGCGCGUGUGUGUGGGACUCUUUUACGUGCUUGCGCAUGCUGUGUGAGUGAGCGCAUGUGUCUGCUGCCGUCUGUGAACUUUGCGGCUCCG